rnacentral:lncRNA from 1 species
UCGAACGAACCCGACCACCAAACGCUACGUCCGCUCCGGCCUACGCAUACGCGUAUUUAAACUUAUAAUUUUUCUUCUAACGUUAGAUCCACUUUAUCAACAAAGGACUUUGCACAAAAUAAUUCAAUAACACCUCCCAAAAUCCUUCUCUUUGUUUUCUUGAUUUCUUAUUCAUCUCUCAACAAUGGAAAAUUCCAAAAAUUCAUCUUCUUCAAUGGAAAAAGUGAAUUUCAGAACAAAAAUCCUUAGCAGACACCUAAAUCAAGAAAACCCAACAUCCAAUUAUUCAAUACUCCAAUCUUUCCCAUGUCUCAGCUACAACCCACCUGAAUUUUCAGAACCAUCUUCUAUUUUUGACACAAAAGAAAUGAGAAAACUUAUGGAUGGUCAUAAUUUGCAAGAAAGAGACUGGCUUUUUGGUCUAAUGUUGCAAAGUAAUCUUUUUAAUCCAAAAAUAAGGGGUGGUAAAGUAUUUGUUCAACCUGACUAUAACCAAUCUAAAGAACAGCAAAGGGAAAUUACUAUGAGGAGAAUUGGCUAUCUUCUGCAAAAUGGUGUUUUUGAAAGUUGGCUAACUGGUAAAGGACCUGAAGAUGAGUUGAUGAAAUUGGCUCUAUUGGAUGUUGUUGGAAUAUUUGAUCAUUCUCUUGCUAUCAAGAUUGGUGUCCAUUUUUUCCUAUGGUAUGUUUAUCUAUUUUUUCUUAGUGAUAAAUUCAAAUAUAUAUACUUAUUAUGUAACUAUAAGUAAAUUUCUUUGAUAAAAAUUAAUUAGAAAUCUAUUGAUAAACAUUAAGAAAUAAGCUAUAGUAACUAAUCAGCUUUCACAUGUUAAAAUUUAGUAAGUAAUAGGGUAAAAAAGUCAUUACACUAGUAUAUAUGACUUAAAAUCUUUUAUAUGAAUUCACAUAUUAUUUUAGAAUAAGAAUAAGAAAAACCUAAAUAUAUUAAAUUGCUAGUAGGGACAAUCUUGAUUGGAUUGGUUGCGUUACAUAACUUAUUACUUACUAUUUCAGGUAAGCAAAAUAUCUUUUCUUUUAUCUUCUAUCAUUAGGUGUUUAGAACCCAUCAUAUAAAUCUAAAGGUUUUAAUGAGAGUCUAGCCAAAAUUUAAAACUUAUGGUCGAGAUUUUAGUCCUUUAAAUUCAAAGCUUAUUGGGUCGAGAUUUUAGUCCUUUAAAUUACGGGAUUUUAAGUUAAGAAUUUAUAAAUAUUCAAUGAAUUUUUAAAGAUAAAUACAAUUGAACAAAACUACUUGGUUCGAUCGAACUUGCCUCUGAAACAGGGGCAGAUUUAGGGGGCGGUGGGGGUUCAUCCUAACCCCUGGUCUAGAAAACUACUAUCUAUAUAUAUGACAAAAUUUGGUUUGUACUUCUAUAUUUAUUUUUUGAAUCGCCUUGAUACAAUCCAAAAGUAUAACUCAGUGGUUAAUGGGGUUUAAAAUCUUUAUAAUAUUGGUUCAAUUUUCAUUGGUCACGGUCUCUUUUUAUUUUUUAUUUUUUUGAUCCCCAUUUACGAAAAUCCUGACUUCGCGGUAUGAAGCUCUAGCUCCCCGCCCUGGUUUUAUUGCUCCCUAUUUAGGAGGUGUUUUGGUAGUAGGUAAACAGAAUAUCAUUCUCAUUUUUGGUUGAUUCAUUCAAUGGUAGGAUAAAGUGAUAAAACCAAUCUUGAAAAAUAUACAAUAGAGAAGAGAUAGAGAUUACAGAAAAUCCUCAUCCGAUUACACAUAUACCAACUAAUGACAGAAACUGUCCGGUAAUGUUCAAUGGGCCCAUCACAUGAGAGAUAUUAUAAGGGUUUUUUCCACUUUUAAUCCGUGCCAUAAAUUCGGUAACCGAAAAAGUGUAUAAAAUUUAUACUCCUUCCGUCUCAUAUUAACAGUCGUGGUUAUUAAAAAUAAUUGUCUCAAAUUAUUUAUCAUUUUAGAAUUUCAAGAUAAAAUUGAUUAUUUUUUUUCUUUUUUACCCAUAAUAAUAAUUAUCCUUGAAGACUACAAACACUUCAAUUGUGGAUAAAUGUGCUCAAAUAUCAAUGAAAAAAGAUUGAAUAUUAAGACAUGAAUAAGGGUAAAGUAGUUAAAAUCCCAACCUAAUUAAUUUUUUUUUAAGGGGCGUGUACAAGAAAAUUAUGACAGAUAAUUUGAGACGGAGGAAAUAUAAUUUUUGUAUAUAACAUACAGAAUGUAUAUAUAUACAAAAAAAAAUAUAUAUUUUUGGCUAUUAUUUUAAGAUGGGGUAUACAGUGUUAUUUUCCCAAAUUAUAAUUUCUUGUUAAAGCCCUUUACAAUCUUUAAAAUAAUUUGAUAUUUACGGUCAUAAAUUAAAAUACUUUCCGAAAAAAGUAGAUACGUCAAAUAUAGGUUACUAAAUUAAACAACUCACUCCAUUAUUUAAUACUCCCUCCCUCCCAUUUUAUGUUUGGAUUUCGAGAAUCAAACGAAUUGUUCUUUGGCCGUAAUUUUUUUCAUGUUAAAUAUUUUGAAUUAUCAAUUUUGUAACUUAUAGUAAUAGUUUGGUCAUGUGAGGAGGAGAAACGCAUACGCCCCAGUGAGGAGGUGUGAGAGGUUGACAUUGGAGGGUUUACAAAGAGGUAAAGGUAGGCCAACGAAGAGGUGGGGAGAGGUGAUUAGGCAAGACAUGACACAACUUCAGCUGACCAAGGACAUGACCCUUGAAAGGAAGGUAUGGAGGUCGAGAAUUAGGGUGAUAGAGUAGGUAGUCUAGAGUGUUCAUAAGAGUAGUAUUGACACGCAGUCUCGCUUUAUGUUGGUAGUAGGUUUUUAUGACUAACCGUUGUUUGCUUUUAUUGUUGAUCACCUUACUAUCUUGUUUUUAUUUUGCUGUUAUAUGGCUUUAUGGUACUGUCUAUCCGUGUCUAUAUCUUCAUUAAUGUGGUGCUUAUGCUUUCCUGAGUCGAGGGUCUAUUGGAAACAACAUCUCUAUCCUCACAAGGUAGGGGUAAGGUCUGCGUAUACACUACCCUCCUCAGAUCCCACAGUGUGAGAUAAUAUUGGUUAUGUUGUUUUUGUAACUUAUAGUAAUAGUACUUUUUUGUGUAGUUAUUAAAUAUAUAAAUUUUAUUUUAAAAAAUUUAAAGAUUUUAUGUUCAAAUAGAAUCAAAGUUAAGAAGUUUGAAUCUUCAAAAACAAAAAUAUCACAUAAAUUGGGUUGGGUGGGACAGAGAAAGUAAAUUGAGUAAGUAAGAUAAACACCUUUUAGAACUUGUGCAAAGGAAAUAGAUCAAUUGGGUCCUAACUUAACACAUCUCAUAACUGACAAUAUCAGAACAAAUGCUAAAAUCUUGUACUUUAUUAGCUUCAAGUACAAAUAUACUACACUACUGUAAGAAUCCAACAUUAAUUUCACUUCCUUAAAAAAUCUCUUUUUCAUCUCAGUUUUCUUGAUUUCCUAUUCAGUUAAUCAUCUAUUCAAAUCUCUCAACAAAAUGAAAAAUUCCCAUUUUUCAUCUUCUUCAAUGGAGAAAGUUAACUUUAGAACAAAAGUCCUUAGCAAACACCUAAUCCAAGAAAAUCCAACACCCAUAAAUUCAACACUUCAAUCUUUCCCAUGUCUCAGCUACAACCCACCUGAAUUUUCAGAGCCAUAUUCUGUUUUUGACAUAAAAGAAAUGAGAUAACUUUUAGAUGGUCAUAAUUUGCAAGAAAUGGACUGGCUUUUUGGUCUAAUGUUGCAAAGUAAUCUUUUUAACACAAAUGUAAGGGGUGGCAAAGUAUUUGUUUUACCUGAUUAUAACCAAUCUAAAGAACAGCAAAGGGAAAUUACUAUGAGGAGAAUUGGUUACCUUCUGCAAAAUGGUGUUUUUAGAGGCUGGCUUACUGGUAAAGGACCUGAAGAUGAGUUGAGGAAAUUUGAUUUCGUCGAUGUUGUUGGCAUCUUUGAUCAUUCUCUUAAAAUCAAGAUCGGCGUCCAUUUUUUCUUAUGGUAUGUUUAUUCCCUAAGGGGUUCGUUUGGUACGUAGGAUAAGAGAUAAUAAUCCCGGGAUUCAAUCCGAGAUUAUUUUAUCUCGUGUUUGGUUGAAUUUUUUAAUUUAGGAUUAGCAAUCCCGGAAUUAAUUAAUUCCACAAAAUAUAUUUUAUUCUAUCCCACAUUGAGUGUGAUAAUAAUCUCGGGGUAAACACUAAAAUGACAAAGUUUCCCUUCUUCAAGGCCCCCAAAGUCUUUGAAACAUUCCAAGGUUAAAAUUGAAAAUAAAAGAUUAUCCCAACUUAUCUAAUAUACAUCAAACACAUGUUUAUAUUAUACCAUGUAUAUUCUAUUUUUAGUCCAGUAAACCAAACAACUUCCAAUAAAAAUAUAUUUACUAAAUAAUUCUGUCAUUAUUUAAUCACUAUAUUAUAAUCCCAUCAUUUUAAUUCCGGUAUAACUUGUUCUCCUGCCAAACAACCCCUAAGAGACGAGUUAGUAGUUGUCUAAUACUCCAAUUUGUGUGUCAUUAAGGGGCCUUUUGGUUCAAGAGAUUAAGUGGGUUGUAAGAAUAUUUUUGUCUAAACUAUUUAUCUUUUUAAAAAAUACUAUACAUAUUGAAGCGCUAAGGAUAUAUUUGAAAAAUAAAGUAAUAAAUCAUUGCUUAUUUUCUAUCACGUCAAAUCUAAAUUCAAAUUGCCAAAAUGACUAAUAGGACUUGAAAGAUUACCAAAAUGCAAAAAUAAAAAGUUACUCCCACAUUGUGAGUUCAUUAAACGAAUAAAUACAUAUCAUUUAAUUAUGGUUAAUUACUAUAUAUUCUAACAUUAAUUUAUCAUUUAUUCAUGAUAAUUACCUGUGGUUUAAUGUAAACAUGAAUUUAAUACGUCUUGUACUAGGUAUAAAACCUUAUUAUCUUUUAAUCAUUAAAUUAAAUUGACUUUAGGACCAAUUAGGCAGACACUUAGAACCCACGCUACCCAAACUCAUAAUUAAAUCUUAUAUUAUUCUAACUCAAGAUCCACUCUUUUCUCACAAAACUUCCCUUCAAAUUCAAUUAUUAUACAGUUUGCAAAUUCCUC